CCCUACGGGGCGCAGCAGUCGGGAAUAUUGCGCAAUGGAGGAAACUCUGACGCAGUGACGCCGCGUGCAGGAAGAAGGUUUUCGGAUUGUAAACUGCUUUAGACAGGGAAGAAAAAAGACAGUACCUGUAGAAUAAGCUCCGGCUAACUACGUGCCAGCAGCCGCGGUAAUACGUAGGGGGCUAGCGUUAUCCGGAAUUACUGGGCGUAAAGGGUGCGUAGGUGGUUUCUUAAGUCAGAGGUGAAAGGCUACGGCUCAACCGUAGUAAGCCUUUGAAACUGGGGAACUUGAGUGCAGGAGAGGAG
rnacentral:rRNA from 1 species